AUGCCUUAAACUUAUGAGUAAGGAGAACAAUGAUUGGGCGUGAUACCAGAAUGUUCACGGCCAAUGUGAGAUGUAUUAUUGAGCUGGUGAAGGUGGCCCUCAGGGUGACCUGCCUCCUUUGCUGGAUGCCUGGGAGUCAUGAUCUGCCUG
ensembl:snRNA U12 U12 minor spliceosomal RNA